CGUCUCAGUUCNGAUUGCAGGCUGCAACUCGCCUGCAUGAAGUCGGAAUUGCUAGUAAUCGCAGAUCAGCAUGCUGCGGUGAAUACGUUCCCGGGCCUUGUACACACCGCCCGUCACACCAUGGGAGUCGGUAACACCCGAAGUCGGUAGCCUAACCGUAAGGAGGGCGCCGCCGAAGGUGGGAUUGAUGACUGGGGUGAAGUCGUAACAAGGUAUC
rnacentral:rRNA from 1 species